rnacentral:lncRNA from 1 species
UAGACACGAUGACAUAGAGGCAGGCCUUUGGGACAUGUACUGUAUUCCGGAUUUUAGAUCCGAUGAAACAGUGAUGAACCACUGGGACCUGAGACGGACUUAUUCGCUUGCAUGCCAUUGUGCUCAUUCGCACAUGCUUGUGAGGGUCGCUCCCUACAAGCCGGCACUCCGGAGAUAGCCAUCGCGACAUAUGUUCGCACGUGCGGGAUUGGGCGUCGAAAUGGAUUGUCGUGGGGGAGGCUCAUUCCUAGAGUGGGGAUGUUGACUACCACGGGGCCACUAGGCACGGCGCAGGCCAGACAGCCUUCGGGUGGGUCUUACAUGAUUGGGACUUAGUGACAGAACAUGCUAUGUGAACUUUAAAACUAUUAAAGUGGACUUGGACUAGAAUAGUAAACAAUGACAUCUUUACUAUUUCUGCAUUGAGGACAUCGG